rnacentral:rRNA from 1 species
UACGGGAGGCAGCAGUGGGGAAUAUUGCGCAAUGGGGGGAACCCUGACGCAGCCAUGCCGCGUGAAUGAAGAAGGCCUUCGGGUUGUAAAGUUCUUUCGGUAUUGAGGAAGGAGUGUAUGUUAAUAGCAUACAUUAUUGACGUUAAAUACAGAAGAAGCACCGGCUAACUCCGUGCCAGCAGCCGCGGUAA